AUUCCAGCUCCAAUAGCGUAUAUUAAAGUUGUUGCGGUUAAAAAGCUCGUAGUUGGAUUUCUGCUGAGGACGACUGGUCCGCCCCCUGGGUGAGCAUCUGGUUCGGCCUGGGCAUCUUCUUGGGGAACGUAUCUGCACUUGAUUGUGUGGUGCGGUAUCCAGGACUUUUACUUUGAGGAAAUUAGAGUGUUUCAAGCAGGCCCGCGCCUUGAAUACAUUAGCAUGGAAUAAUAAGAUAGGACCUCGGUUCUAUUUUGUUGGUUUCUAGGACGAAAGUAAUGAUUGAUAGGGAUAGUUGGGGGUGCUAGUAUUCGGCGGCCAGAGGUGAAAUUCUUUGAUCCGCUGAAGACUAACUUAUGCGAAAGCAUUCACCAAGGAUGUCUUCAUCA
rnacentral:rRNA from 1 species